rnacentral:rRNA from 1 species
UAACCCGCACCACUUAUCGUGGUGGGAGACAGUGUCAGGCGGGCAGUUUGACUGGGGCGGUCGCCUCCUAAAAGGUAACGGAGGCGCUCAAAGGUUCCCUCAGAAUGGUUGGAAAUCAUUCAUAGAGGGUAAAGGCAUAAGGGAGCUUGACUGCGAGACCUACAAGUCGAGCAGGGUCGAAAGACGGACUUAGUGAUCCGGUG